GACGGAGGAUGCAAGCGUUAUCCGGAAUGAUUGGGCGUAAAGCGUCCGCAGGUGGCAGUUCAAGUCUGCUGUCAAAGACCGGGGCUUAACUUCGGAAAGGCAGUGGAAACUGAACAGCUAGAGUAUGGUAGGGGCAGAGGGAAUUCCUGGUGUAGCGGUGAAAUGCGUAGAGAUCGAGAGGAACACCUGCGGCGAAGGCGGGUUGCUGGGCCGACACUGACGCUGAUGCGCGAAAGCCAGGGGAGCGAACGGG
rnacentral:rRNA from 1 species